rnacentral:rRNA from 1 species
AUUGAACGCUGGCGGCAGGCCUAACACAUGCAAGUCGAGCGGAUGAAGGGAGCUUGCUCCUGGAUUCAGCGGCGGACGGGUGAGUAAUGCCUAGGAAUCUGCCUGGUAGUGGGGGAUAACGUCCGGAAACGGGCGCUAAUACCGCAUACGUCCUGAGGGAGAAAGUGGGGGAUCUUCGGACCUCACGCUAUCAGAUGAGCCUAGGUCGGAUUAGCUAGUUGGUGGGGUAAAGGCCUACCAAGGCGACGAUCCGUAACUGGUCUGAGAGGAUGAUCAGUCACACUAGAACUGAGACACGGUCCAGACUCCUACGGGAGGCAGCAGUGGGGAAUAUUGGACAGUGGGCGAAAGCCUGAUCCAGCCAUGCCACGUGUGUGAAGAAGGUCUUCGGAUUGUGAAGCACUUUAAGUUGGGAGGAAGGGCAGUAAGUUGAUACCUUGCUGUUUUGACGUUACCAACAGAAUAAGCACCGGCUAACUUCGUG